rnacentral:rRNA from 1 species
CGAAGGGUGCUAGCGUUGUUCGGAAUUACUGGGCGUAAAGGGUGCGUAGGUUGUUACCCAAGUUAGUGGUGAAAGCCCAGAGCUUAACUCUGGAAUUGCCAUUAAAACUGGGUAGCUAGAGAAUGUUAGAGGUGAGUGGAAUUUCUAGUGUAGGAGUGAAAUCCGUAGAUAUUAGAAGGAACAUCAAUGGCGAAGGCAGCUCACUGGGUCAUAUCUGACACUGAGGCACGAAAGCGUGGGUAGCAAACAGGAUUAGAUACCCUGGUAGUCCACGCCCUAAACGAUGGAUGCUAAAUGUCGGGACAUUAGUUUCGGCGUUGUAGUUAACGCGUUAAGCAUCCCGCCUGGGGAGUACGGUCGCAAGAUUA